GCCCGGCUAGCUCAAUCGGUAGAGCGUGAGACUCUUAGUAAUCUCGCGAUUUCUGAAAUCUCAAGGUUGUGGGGUAUGUUAUAAUGCCCGUUUCGUCCGUUUGAACCUCACUCUAACAACCAACCUAGUUCGACCCCCACGUCGGGCU